GCAGAACAAGCAGGCGAUGAAUACUCAAGGUGAAAAGAAUCAUUGGACGAAAACUUAAAUCGUUUUCGGAUGGAUUGAAUAAGGUCUGAAUAAUUCAUGAGCUUAUUGAGGAGAAGGACAAAGCCAUUGCCAGAAAAAACAAAUUGAACACACAAAGAACCAACAGUGCUCCUGCAAAAAAAACAAAAACACACAGGUCCAAAAGUUACUACCCCCAGUAAAUGUCAAUUUCUACAAAAACAGACUGAAAAACAUAAGUAAUAUGCUAGAAGUACAAAUAAUAAGCAAUGAAAACAACAACUAACCACAAUUAAAAAACAAAAACACACAGGUCCAAAAGUUACUACCCCCAGUAAAUGUCAAUUUCUACAAAAACAUACUGAAAACAUAAGUAAUAUGCUAGAAGUACAAACAAUAAGUAAUGAAAACAACAACUAACCACAAUUAAAAACAAAAACACACAGAUCAUAAAUAUUACUACCCCCAGUAAAUGUCAAUUUCUACAAAAACAGACUGAAAAACAUAAGUAAUAUGUUAGAAGUACAAAAAAAAAAGCACAGCAAAAACAUUAAAAACAACAAUAAGACAUAGAUCGCAAACAUUACUACCCCCAGGAACAAGUCCAAAAAAUCCAGAAAUUUUCGAAACAACAUGCAAACGAAGCGCAUUCAAGAAGCGACCUAUAAUUCAACUAAAAAAAUAAAGAAAAGAGGAAUUGAAGAGAUUCAAACUGAGUAGGAACCGAAGAGCAAACCAAAGCCCGAUCUAGCUCCAUUUACUACGUAAUUCUGCUAAGGGAAGAGAGGUUAUGGUGCCGCCGGAAAACCGCAACGGAAAUUGGCUCGAAAUCGCAGUCUGAAACAACGCCGUCGGUCCUCUCUGAAACGACGGCUCUCCGAUCGCUCUCUCUCUCUCNNNNNNNNNNNNNNNNNNNNCUCUCUCUCUCUCUCUCUCUCUCUCUCUCUCUCUCCGAUCGUAAACUUUCUCUCUCUUCAAAACAGAAAUUUGAAAAUAGAUCUCGUCUGGUAUAUAUAGUCUACGGGUUGAGGGUAUUUUCGACAGAAAAAACCAUUAAAAGUAGGCUCAUUAGAAAAGUUUUGUCCAAUAAGACACAUUUCACACACCUUAUAUUGAAGUGGGCAUAUUUCUUUUAAAAACAUUUAAAUGGGCAAAAAGAAGCUUAAAUUAGUACUAAAGUGUCAUUUACUCUUGAAUUAAUCAUCGAAAAUUAAAGUUGGCUGUAUGAUAUUAACAAUGUGGCGCGCCAUCCCGAUGGGUCACUUUCUACUAGAAAAAUAGUUGUGUUCAUCAUGUGUUGGUACACAUCCUAUUUUAAUCAAAUAAAACGUACGAUCAAAGUAAAUAAAUUGCAAGUGAUAAUUUCUUAUUUAGUUGGAGACCACGAAGUCAAAAACGGCUUCUUUUAUCUAUGUGUAGGCUUUUUA
rnacentral:lncRNA from 1 species